UAAACAAAGGGAAGCGAGCCUGUGAAGGGGAGCAAAUCCCAAAAAUAACGUCCCAGUUCGGAUUGUAGUCUGCAACCCGACUACAUGAAGCUGGAAUCGCUAGUAAUCGCGGAUCAGAAUGCCGCGGUGAAUACGUUCCCGGGUCUUGUACACACCGCCCGUCACACCAUGGGAGUCGGAAAUGCCCGAAGUCUGUGACCUAACCGUAAGGAAGGAGCAGCCGAAGGCAGGUCGGAUGACUGGGGUGAAGUCGUAACAAGGUAUC
rnacentral:rRNA from 1 species